AAGAUCGGUUGGCGUGACCGGUGCACCCCGCGCCUCGUGGGCGCGGGGUGCACCGGAUGAUCCCGACCGACCUUU
rnacentral:tRNA from 1 species